GGAGCUUGCUCCCGGAUGUUAGCGGCGGACGGGUGAGUAACACGUGGGUAACCUGCCUGUAAGACUGGGAUAACUCCGGGAAACCGGAGCUAAUACCGGAUAGUUCCUUGAACCGCAUGGUUCAAGGAUGAAAGACGGUUUCGGCUGUCACUUACAGAUGGACCCGCGGCGCAUUAGCUAGUUGGUGGGGUAAUGGCUCACCAAGGCGACGAUGCGUAGCCGACCUGAGAGGGUGAUCGGCCACACUGGGACUGAGACACGGCCCAGACUCCUACGGGAGGCAGCAGUAGGGAAUCUUCCGCAAUGGACGAAAGUCUGACGGAGCAACGCCGCGUGAGUGAUGAAGGUUUUCGGAUCGUAAAGCUCUGUUGUUAGGGAAGAACAAGUGCGAGAGUAACUGCUCGCACCUUGACGGUACCUAACCAGAAAGCCACGGCUAACUACGUGCCAGCAGCCGCGGUAAUACGUAGGUGGCAAGCGUUGUCCGGAAUUAUUGGGCGUAAAGGGCUCGCAGGCGGUUUCUUAAGUCUGAUGUGAAAGCCCCCGGCUCAACCGGGGAGGGUCAUUGGAAACUGGGAAACUUGAGUGCAGAAGAGGAGAGUGGAAUUCCACGUGUAGCGGUGAAAUGCGUAGAGAUGUGGAGGAACACCAGUGGCGAAGGCGACUCUCUGGUCUGUAACUGACGCUGAGGAGCGAAAGCGUGGGGAGCGAACAGGAUUAGAUACCCUGGUAGUCCACGCCGUAAACGAUGAGUGCUAAGUGUUAGGGGGUUUCCGCCCCUUAGUGCUGCAGCUAACGCAUUAAGCACUCCGCCUGGGGA
rnacentral:rRNA from 1 species